AGACCCAGAAGCAGCAGCUGGAGUCCUUGCAAGAGAGAAAGAAGAACCGGUGCAGUGGGCUGAUAGUAGUGUCCGUGAAACAGGCCGAAGGAUCGAUCUUAGGGCGCCGAAACCCAUGUUUUUCUCUCAAGAGAGAUACCUGAUGUUGAGAAUGGGUGAGGGCUUCAAAACCAGGACUGGUUCUGUGGAGGGAGACGACGACUGAAAUCACGUUAGGGCUGGAAUAAAAGGAAGGGUAUAUUGGUAAAAGUACAUAUGGCAGUCUGUUUUCUUUUAUUUUCUCACCUAUAUUUUGUUCAUCCAAAUGAAAUGGUCAGAAACUACACUUCUUUCUUAUCUCACAAAUAAGAGAGGGAUUUUGUUAAUGUGUGCCCUUAAGACACAUGAUAAUGUUCAUUCACUGAGAUUAAUUAAAAUCUACUAUUAUAGAAAGUAGUGAAAGUUGUUGAAAUAUUGUACGCUCCUUUCUUCUCUUUUCUCACUAAUUUCGUUUAUCUCUUGCAAGGAACAAAAGCAAUAAGACGUUUCAUAUGCUAAAAUUUAAGGUGAUUACACCAUUUACGGAAUAGCAACGAUGGGGCAAAAUUUGACAUUUUCAAGACACCCUUGCAUAGACUCCUCGGAAAAAAAAUACAUUCACCGCACAAACAAGUUUCAGACGCAAUACCCUACUUUUCAGAUGCGAUCUAGCCCUAAUCUGUUCAAUGUAUUCAAGCCCAAAAAUCUACACUCCUAAUUUUUGCUCCAAACAUAGGAAGAAGUGAGAUUUAAAAACCUGUUAAUGCCUGGUAAUGGAUGGAAAACACCGGUGAAAUGAAGAAACUCCUCCAGAUCAAGAAAGAGCAAACUGGUAGAAGGAUUUUUUUUGUGCACGUAGCUAGCCAAAAUACCUAAAAUGUCAUUCUAACUACUCUCUUGUACAUACUCCCCUUCAAAACAACGAUGCUUCAUUUCAAUUUGAUUUAGGCUCUGCCCACAAUUAUCUCGUCUCGUGUUAGGUGCAAAUUUUUUAGCCCGAUUGUCGAUUCUAAAUUUGUAUUCUUAUUUUGUAUUUCAGAGUUAUUUUGUGUAGAAUCUAAUUUACGUUCUGACAGAAACAAUUCUCAAAACAUGAAUAAAGAAUCACAAUCUGAAUUUUGAAUUUUCAUUCUGAAAUUUUAAAUUUUGAGAUAACUAUUUUAUUCCUUACCCUUUAAAAAAAUUAUUAUUACAUAAACAUUUUUACAUAUGAUACGUUCACCCUAAAACUCUUGGAAUGCAGUGAUUGUUUGACGUGAUUUUGACAGAAUCGUGGCUAGAAUAUCAGACUCCUCUAAGUAUGUAGGGGGUGCGUGCGUGUGUGCUCUCAAAUAUGGCUGUUUUCAGUGGACAGGAUGUUAUCCGACGAUGCAUUAGUUUAGGCUUUGUAAUAAAUUUAGUUGUAGCCUGAUGUGUUUUGGGGUCGGUCGGUUAGUUUUGGCGGUGGUGUUUUUUGUGGUGUUGUUGCUUUCGUUUUUUUUUUUUUUAACUCCCUCUGUCCCUAAAUAUGUGUUCGGCAUGCAAAUUUAGGCUUUACAAAAGAUGCAUGUUUUUCAUUAAAAAAUCUAAUUUUUUUUCACAAUCUAAUAGAAUUCAUUGCUAUCUAUUAAUUUUUUUUAAAAAAAUUAAUUUUUUAAUGAAACAAAUGCAUCUUUUUAAAGGCCUAGGUUUGCGUGCUAGAUACUUAUUUAGGGACGGAAGGAGUACUUGUUUUUGUUAGGUUCUAGUUUCGGGUCGCACACACAUAUCCUAAACACUCAACACUAUGUUCCAUUCAUUAGGCUCUCGUUGGCCUUCGCUGGUUGUCGGCGUCCCUAGACUUCAUGUUGGCCUUUAUCUUCUGGCGAUAGCAUAGAUGAUGUGACUUUCGUGUUUUGCGGAUCAAUACACUGUGUGUUCUGCUCCUUAGGCUCUACUUUGGUCUUCGCUCGUUGCUUGUGUGUCUUCUUUAUUGUAAGAGCGACAACACAGUUGUACCUUUCUCUCUUUUAUUAUUAAUGCAUUUCUUGCUCUUCCUCCAAAAAAACAAAAAAAUAUGCCUCUCACAAUUUCCUUGUACUUUUGCUGACUAGUAUGCUCUCAACACUAGAAUUUCUCGCCUAUCAAAAAAAAAAAAACUAGGGUCAUCCUAAGGAAGAAUUCUAAGUGCUCUGGCCUAUCCUGAGUGACUCCUUAACAACUAGGCCCCGUUUGGAUGCAUCAUAUAGAAGGGGGAUUAUUUUUCACUCAUCUGUAAGAACUUGGCCCCACACUUUGCCCCCGUUUGGGAGCCAUAAACUGCAGGGGUUUUCCAGAACACCGUUCUUGGCAAAGACCGGAGAAAGGGGUAUCGGCGGUCUUAUCUUCGGCUGGGGUUUGAGGUCCCCAUAAGUUAUCCCCCCUAAUCCCCCUCGAAAAUGGACGAUUUCACCCCUCCUAAUCCCCCUUCUCCCAACCCCCAAUACCCCAGCCCAAAUUCAAAACCCUGGUUUUUUUUUACUAUGAACAGAGACAAUGAAACAAGAAGAAGAGAAUGAACAAAAACAGAUCGGAGAGAGGGAGGGAUCGAACCAGGCCAACGAGACCGUGGCGUUCACCAGGGAUCGUAGAAACGAAGUGUGUCGCAGUUUUUCUUCUUUCUUCUUCUACUGUUCUCUCUCUCUGUCUU